GACCUUGGGAAAGAAAUCUGUAUCAGACAUGUGGGCUUCAUUAAGGGAAAUGCCUUCAGAAGAUUAUUUUUCCAUGUUAUGAGAAAAAAUCUGAACAAAAAUGUACGUAUUCAAGAAUUAAGAGAAAAAAGAGAGUCUGCAGAGGACAAAGACUUUUCCAGAGCAAGUCGUUGCUGAAGAGGAAAGUCAAAAGCUACCAAAUGAAUCAACCUGACAACGUGGCUAGCUAGUUGUGUGACCUUGGGCACAAAUACCCUAUCUGAUUUUAAUCUUCUCACAAGUAAAAGGACGGCUCUUUUAGAGUCUUUUAAUGCUCUACA